rnacentral:lncRNA from 1 species
GUGGUGAUGAAUGAGGCCUGGCCUGUGGCAAACAGAGAAAAGAUCUCAUCCUUCACCUAGGCCGGAGUGCAGUGGUGCAAUUAUGGCUUCCUAUAGCCUCAAACUAAAGGCCUAAGUGAUCCUCCUACCUCAGCCUCCUGCGUAGCCGAGAUUACAGAUAA